rnacentral:rRNA from 1 species
UACAGAGGGGGCUAGCGUUAUUCGGAAUUAUUGGGCGUAAAGGGCGCGUAGGCGGGUUAUUAAGUCAGUGGUGAAAGCCUUCAGCUUAACUGAAGAACUGCCAUUGAUACUGAUGAUCUUGAGUAUGAUUGAGGUGGGCGGAAUGUGUCAUGUAGCGGUGAAAUGCUUAGAUAUGACACAGAACACCGAUUGCGAAGGCAGCUCACUAAGCCAUAACUGACGCUGAUGCACGAAAGCGUGGGGAGCAAACAGG